AGUAGCAGUGACCUAAUGGUCAUGGUCGUGGACUCGCGGCCGGUAUUGUUUCAGUCAAGACUCGGGUUCGAGUCCCGAUGCUGUUG